rnacentral:lncRNA from 14 species
CGCGGGGACGAGGCGGCGGCGGCGAGGAUGAUGAUGUGCGCGGCGACUGCCUCCCCCGCCGCCGCCUCCUCCGGGCCCGGCGGGGACGGCUUCUUUGCAGCCGCCACCAUCUCUUCCUCCCCGGCACCGGGGGCGCUGUUCAUGCCGGUUCCUGACGGUUCGGUGGCCGCUUCGGGACUGGGGCUGGGGCUGCCUGCCACGGACUCCCGGGGUCAGUAUCAGCUGCUGCUGUCAGGCCGGGCCUUGGCGGAUCGCUACCGGAGGAUUUACACCACUGCGCUCAGUGACAGGGACCAGGCCGGCAGCAGCACUGGGUACCCGGCCUCCAGGAAUAAGAAAAUUUUAAAUAAGAAGAAAUUGAAGCGAAAACAGAAAAGCAAAUCAAAAGUGAAGACAAGAAGCAAGUCUGAAAACUUGGAGAAUACAGUAAUUAUCCCCGAUAUCAAACUACAUAGCAAUCCCUCAGCCUUCAACAUUUACUGUAAUGUACGGCAUUGCGUUUUGGAGUGGCAGAAAAAGGAAGCAUCACUGGCAGCUGCAUCGAGGAACUCUGUACAGAGUGGAGAAUCAGACAGUGAUGAGGAAGAGGAGUCCAGAGAGCUCCCCAUCAAGCUUCCAAAGAUUAUUGAGGUUGGGCUUUGUGAAGUCUUUGAAUUGAUCAAGGAGACUCGGUUUUCUCAUCCAUCCCUGUGUCUAAGGAGCCUCCAAGCCCUGCUGAAUGUGCUUCAAGGCCAGCAGCCAGAAGGCCUUCAAUCAGAGCCACCAGAGGUCCUAGAGUCUCUCUUCCAGCUCCUAUUGGAGAUUACAGUUCGGAGUACUGGGGUGAAUGACAGCACAGGGCAGUCCCUCACAGCACUCUCCUGUGCUUGCCUCUUUAGCCUGGUGGCCUCCUGGGGAGAAACAGGAAGGACACUUCAGGCCAUCUCUGCUAUCCUAACCAACAAUGGUAGUCAUGCUUGCCAAACGAUUCAGGUGCCAACAAUACUAAAUUCACUACAGAGAAGUGUACAGGCAGUGUUGGUUGGAAAGAUUCAAGUCCAGGACUGGUUUAGCAAUGGCAUUAAGAAAGCAGCUUUAAUGCACAAGUGGCCAUUAAAGGAAAUAUCUGUUGAUGAAGAUGACCAGUGUCUGCUUCAGAAUGAUGGAUUUUUUCUUUAUUUGUUAUGCAAGGAUGGAUUAUACAAAAUAGGCUCUGGAUACAGUGGAACAGUUAGGGGUCAUAUAUAUAAUUCUACAUCUCGUAUCAGAAACAGAAAAGAAAAGAAGUCUUGGUUAGGAUAUGCCCAGGGUUACUUGUUAUAUCGGGAUGUGAAUAACCACAGUAUGACAGCCAUAAGAAUAAGCCCCGAAACGCUGGAGCAAGACGGCACUGUAAUGUUACCAGAUUGCCACACUGAAGGUCAAAAUAUUUUAUUUACUGAUGGAGAGUAUAUUAACCAGAUAGCUGCUUCAAGAGAUGAUGGCUUUGUUGUCAGGAUAUUUGCCACAAGCACUGAGCCUGUGCUGCAACAAGAACUCCAGCUGAAGCUGGCCAGGAAGUGCUUACAUGCCUGCGGCAUAUCUCUGUUUGAUCUGGAGAAGGAUUUGCAUAUAAUAAGCACAGGGUUUGAUGAAGAGUCAGCCAUCCUUGGUGCAGGCCGAGAGUUUGCGCUAAUGAAAACAGCGAAUGGAAAGAUUUAUUACACUGGCAAGUACCAGAGUCUUGGAAUCAAACAAGGUGGUCCUUCAGCAGGAAAAUGGGUUGAAUUACCAAUUACCAAGUCUCCAAAGAUAGUGCAUUUCUCUGUGGGACAUGACGGCUCGCAUGCCCUUUUAGUUGCAGAGGAUGGAAGUGUGUUCUUCACAGGAUCUGCCAGCAAAGGAGAGGAUGGAGAGUCAGCUAAGAGCAGACGGCAGUCCAAACCCUAUAAACCUAAAAAGAUUAUAAAAAUGGAAGGGAAGAUCGUGGUGUGCACAGCCUGCAAUAACGGGAGCAGCUCUGUGAUCUCUAAGGAUGGAGAAUUGUACAUGUUCGGAAAAGAUGCCAUUUAUUCUGAUAGUUCAAGUUUAGUAUCUGAUUUGAAAGGCCAUUUUGUAACUCAGGUAGCAAUGGGCAAAGCUCACACAUGUGUUUUAAUGAAGAAUGGAGAGGUUUGGACAUUUGGUGUAAAUAAUAAAGGACAGUGUGGACGAGACACUGGUGCUAUGAACCAAGGAGGGAAAGGGUUUGGAGUUGAAAAUAUGGCAACAGCAAUGGAUGAAGACCUGGAGGAAGAACUAGAUGAGAAAGAUGAGAAGUCCAUGAUGUGCCCUCCAGGCAUGCACAAGUGGAAGCUGGAGCAGUGCAUGGUGUGCACCGUGUGUGGAGACUGCACAGGCUAUGGUGCCAGCUGCGUUAGCAGUGGUCGCCCUGAUAGAGUUCCUGGAGGGAUCUGUGGAUGUGGUUCAGGAGAGUCCGGCUGUGCUGUGUGUGGAUGUUGCAAGGCAUGUGCAAGGGAGUUGGAUGGUCAAGAGGCAAGACAAAGAGGGAUUCUUGAUGCAGUGAAAGAAAUGAUACCUUUAGACCUCCUUUUAGCUGUCCCUGUACCUGGGGUUAAUAUUGAAGAACAUCUUCAAUUAAGACAAGAAGAAAAACGGCAACGUGUCAUUAGAAGACACAGAUUAGAAGAUGGAAGAGAUGCAAGCGGAGAAAGAGGGGAAAAGGACGCAAGCAAAGUCACAACCUACCCGCCCGGCUCUGUGAGGUUUGACUGCGAGGUCCGGGCAGUCCAGGUCAGCUGUGGAUUCCACCACUCAGUGGUUCUCAUGGAGAAUGGAGACGUCUAUACAUUUGGAUAUGGGCAGCAUGGCCAGCUGGGACAUGGGGAUGUCAAUUCCAGGUAGUGACAACUUUGUUUUAAUUUAUCUUCUUUUCCAUCUCCCUUCCUUUCUCUCCAUUCUAUAGUUUGGGAUAUUUCUCUCUCUGUCUCUCUCUGUCUCUGUCUCUGUCUCUCUCUGUCUCUGUCUCUCUCUCUCUCUCUCUCUCUCUCUCUCUCUCUCUGUGUGUGUGUGUGUGUGUGUGUGUGUGUGUGUGUGUGUGUGUACUGAAAUAAUGCUCUACUGCUCUCUGAAAACAUAGCUCUAGAGUUAUUUGAUGGUUCCUGGUUAUGUGGUUGUGUGCUUACAUGAGGUAGGUGAUUUUUAGUUAAAUGUGAAUAGUUGAUAGGCAUUUUAUGUCUAAGAGUGAGUAGAAUUAAUACAAAACUCAACCAUACUCUUUACAGAUAUUCUUUUUUUCCCCAAAGCGCUACAUGGCAAUAGAAAAGGUAGUGAACAUACCGGAUUGAAUUACAAAAACAAAAGUUUAUAGUGUGACUGGGAGUGUAGCUCAGUGGCACUUGUUAGACAUGUAGAGGGCAGUAGGCUCAUUCCUAUCACGGCAAGGAGAAGAGAAGGAAGGAAAGGGGUACUUGCUGGUAUUUCUGCCUAAUGUUUACAUAAUGACAUUGAAACUUUCAAACAACGUUAAGUGAAACCUGCUAGUGUCUCUGAUAUUCUGACUUACCAUAAGUAGCAGAAGCUCAACUGUCAGAGGCGAGCCCUGCAGUCAUAUUCACUCUUCUCUGUGGACAUGGGUAAUAGAGUUUGGAUUACUAACGCAACCAUAACUACUUUCUCAGUUAUAUUGCAGCCGGCUGUGACCACGUGAAGCAGGGUGAUAUGAGCAACUUGGGCAUUGUACAGUUCUUGUAGAUGGUGGCUUGAACUUAUGCAUGGUGGCAGGAUCUAAGAUGUCCUCAUAGAUGUCAUCAUUUGGACCUAUGGAGAAUGACAAAACUAGAUACCCUUUUGCUAUGGCCUUUGUUCAGUGGCCAAUGCAUACCUUAUAAUACAGUCAGAUGAGCUUUUGGCCAAAAGGAUACCUGUUUUUCUUUUCUCUUUUAAAAGAUUUAUUUAUUUUAUGUAUGUUAGUACACUGUUGCUAUCUUCAGACACACCAAAAGAGGGCAUCAGAUUCCAUUAUAGAUG